GGGACUUCGUCUGCAGCUUUGGGGGAAAGUGGACCCUCAGGGGUCUGUCCUGCGGGGAAGCCCCCUCCUCUCAUACUAGGUGGGAAUGCUUCCUGAUGGGGCUUCUUUGGAAAAUGAGUGCCUGCGGAGAAGUCAAUAGCAACGGAUUAAACAGCAAGGAGAAGGCUGAAAGCACAAUUGGAAGAAAGAUAAAGAUAAUUAAAACUAAUUCCAACUGUU